rnacentral:tRNA from 1 species
GCCUGAGUGGCUCAGUCGGUUGGGCGUCUGACUUCAGCUCAGGUCACCAUCUCGCGGUCCGUGAGUUCGAGCCCCGCGUCGGGCU